CUAACACAUGCAAGUCGAACGAAGCAAUUAAGAUGAAGUUUUCGGAUGGAAUCUUGAUUGACUGAGUGGCGGACGGGUGAGUAACGCGUGGAUAACCUGCCUCACACUGGGGGAUAACAGUUAGAAAUGACUGCUAAUACCGCAUAAGCGCACAGUGCCGCAUGGCAGUGUGUGAAAAACUCCGGUGGUGUGAGAUGGAUCCGCGUCUGAUUAGCCAGUUGGCGGGGUAACGGCCCACCAAAGCGACGAUCAGUAGCCGACCUGAGAGGGUGACCGGCCACAUUGGGACUGAGACACGGCCCAAACUCCUACGGGAGGCAGCAGUGGGGAAUAUUGCACAAUGGGCGAAAGCCUGAUGCAGCGACGCCGCGUGAGUGAAGAAGUAUUUCGGUAUGUAAAGCUCUAUCAGCAGGGAAGAAAAUGACGGUACCUGACUAAGAAGCCCCGGCUAACUACGUGCCAGCAGCCGCGGUAAUACGUAGGGGGCAAGCGUUAUCCGGAUUUACUGGGUGUAAAGGGAGCGUAGACGGCGAAGCAAGUCUGAAGUGAAAACCCAGGGCUCAACCCUGGGACUGCUUUGGAAACUGUUUUGCUAGAGUGUCGGAGAGGUAAGUGGAAUUCCUAGUGUAGCGGUGAAAUGCGUAGAUAUUAGGAGGAACACCAGUGGCGAAGGCGGCUUACUGGACGAUAACUGACGUUGAGGCU
rnacentral:rRNA from 1 species